rnacentral:misc_RNA from 1 species
AAAAGUUCUCAACCAUGCUGGUUCUUUCUGGUGUGGCUUGGAUUUGAGGGGAUUUUUUGCAGGCUUUUCAAGUCGGCUCCCUUGAAAAUGAUUAGCAGUAUCUGAGCAUACUUGAGGUGUGAUUAAGCGUCUAUGCCUUGGUGUAUGUGAGAUUGUUGCUUUAUCAGAUGGGUUGGAUUGGGUU